CACCGUUUAUAUCAAAUCAAAAUUAAAAUCCACGGUGAAGAUUAGUACAGAUUAUAGAGCAGUGAUUCAAUAGGCACAAGUACCCUAUUUGUAAAUCAUCCGUUAAAAUUAGAAUCAUGACCAAAAUCAAACGGUCAAAAUUAAAUAUUGGACUUCUGAUUUGAUCUCUCACUGGCUCUUCACUUCAGUCUCACAGUUUCACGCUUCCUCUUCAGACUUCCCUGACUUCUUCGGUCUUCUCAGUUCUCACCACUCUCUCAAACCCUCAUGCCUCUGCUGUCUUCUAUUCAAUCUUUGGCUUUUCGCCUCAGUUCUCAUCUCUCUCUUUUUAUAAAUCAACAAGCAACAGGAAGUGCAGCAGCAAGUCCUAGCUCAGGCAAACGUCCCUUAAUUUGUAUUGAUUGACUUGGUUUAAUAGGUGUUAAGAUUGGCUUUUUUGCCUACUUGUGUUGAGCUACUGGCUUACUGCCUAGGUGCAUAUUGUGUUGUUAAUAGAUCACCAAUGGUAAAAUUAGGUUUUGUGUGUCGUGUUGUGCUAUUUCGUCCAAAUUUAGUCUAUUUUGUUGUGUUUAUUUUUUGUAUUUAAUGUGGAAGAGAUUAUAUAUUUGGAUUGAUAUGUA